UUUUGACCAGUUGUGGAUUUUAUUGACAUAGACUGAAGUCUUGCGAAGUUAUUCCCAUUGUAAAAGGGGAUGAUUUUUUAAUAAUAUGUAAAAUUCCAUUUUUACCUGCAGACAAGGACAUGGAAAAGGAUACUUCAACAGAUGAUGAUCCAAUGGAUUUUGGGUUUGGCUCACCAGCAAAUAAAGAUAAGAAGAAGAAUUCGUUCAAGCUAUUACUUCUCUAAGAUACAGUUGGUUGACAAAAAGGCCUAAUGUUUCAUACCAAACAUUUGACUAACCGCCCCUAAUCAAUCAGGUUUCAUCUAUUUAUCUCCCUCUCUCUAUUAUGUAUCUUCCCUCAUUAUUUCUAACCAGUUUUAUGAUACCUUCAUUGGAGCUAACUGGUAGAUGUGUAGUUGAAAAUGCUUCAGAAGGUUAGUUUGAUGAGUUGUUUUUAAUUAUUCUGAGGGUAUGAUAUAGAUAUAUUCGGUGAGGGUUUGAGGAUUCUAAAUUUCUGAGUUUCGUAUGAAUGUGAAAAAUAUAAUCGAGCUUUGAUUUUAAUGAGACUGUUGAGUUCAUAUACUAUCACUGUUGGUUAUUGUUGUGGAGUUUCUAAUAUAUCACUUCUUUUGUGACUUGAAACUUGAUACCCCAGAAAACAGAGGUGUUCUUCUUCUUCUUGAAGGUAAAAACAUAAUCCAAACUGAAGAGAAGUAUCAGAAGAGCAAGGGUUGCAAGAUAAGCCAUUCUUUCGCCUCUAUUAAGAGAAAUCAUGUCGUCUGAAAAUGACAAAAAAAUCUACCAAAGCCUCUUUAGUUUGCUCUGACUCUCCAUCGACAAUGUAUGAACUCAUGUUGUCUCUCAGUUCUGACUCAUGUCUAACUCCCCCACCACAAAUUCUUACACAACAAUAGACAAGAAUAGCUCAAACUUUAUCUGAUCACCGGAUAUACAGGUUUGAUUAAUGGACUACACCCUACAUACUACGGCUUCACAUCACGAGGCUCUGCAAUUGUUCCAAUUUUAUGAAGACAGCUUCAAACUCCCCAUUGAGAUCUCAAAAAUAUUCAUGCACUCCAAACAGAGGUGAUUUUAAUCCCUCCCUAAAUUAUUUACACUCUAUUAUAUAGAGACAAGUUUGUUCUACUGUAUAGUAUAGCAUGGUGAUAUAUUCAUAUUUUCAUUCAUACCAUGUAUUCAACUGAUAGUGAGAACUAAGUGAAUAUGCAAUUUAUAGCAAACGUCAUCCCCAGUCCAGUACCAACCAACGAUUCUGAUUCUCCACAAAUACUCACCAACAUCUUCCAAAACUGGUGAAAGUCUGAAAAUUUCUUUGAAAAUAUUACCUCAUUUUCCAUUAGUAAGGAAUAUUGUUCCCUAUUUAGUACCAAACAAACACAUUUAAGCUUCACUUACUCGGAACCAGUAAGUUUCUUUGUUUUGUUUUUUUUGCUUGGAAUAUUGCUAACUAUAAAGAGCUAAAUAUAAAGAAGAAGAUCUUAAUCAGCAUCAAAUUUUGGGUACUAAUUCUAUCUGCAAAGCUCAUGUUAUUUCUUUUAUAUAAUGUAUUCCAUGUUCUUGAGAUUGCACUUUCUUUGGAACAGGCGAUCCAAUGGGCGAAAGGUAUGAGAGAAUAGAGAUAUCACAUCUUUGAUCACGGCCGUAGAGAAAGACAUGAGCAAGAAGAUACAAGAGAAAGAUCAGGAGAUGAUGACCAGUGGUUAGAAGUGUUAAGAACAAUUCAUAGGAGGCUAUAGGCAUCCAUUAGUUUGGUGUACUAAUAUAUAUCCAGGAAGAGCAAGAAGUACUCAUUGAGCAACUUCGGAAGAAAAUGGCUUAAAGCAAAAUGAAUAUUUAUGUUUCGUGUUUAUCAGAAAGAAAUAGAUCCUUAAAUACACAACAACCGAAAGCAUGAAUUACUCUUAAGUUAUACUUUCAUCAUUUGUUUCAUAUUUUCAAACUAUACUAUCAAGUUAGAAUAAGUUUAUUUCUAUGAGAUUGAAACAAAAUCCCUACUUAGAAUUGGUACUUGGUCAAAAAUUUUAACCGUAAGCUUCAUCUCUCUCUCACAUGUGUUUUAUAAAUCAUUUAACUUCAAACCUACAUACACCAGAUCGAAUUGUAUUUUCCCUUUAUGAGCUGGAUCCAACCUGUUGUUUGAUGUGUGACAAGAAACAUAAGACUUUGGAGACCUGUAUGGUUCACAUGCAUAAGCACCAUGGUUUCUUUGUUCCAGAUGUUGAGUAUCUAAUCCAGAAGGGCUUCUCACUUACCUUGUCUCUACUGCAGUGAGCUGUGCCAUGCAUUCAGCAGCUUAGAAGCUGUAAGAAAGCAUAUGGAAGCAAAGAGUCAUUGCAAAUUGCAUUAUGGUGAUGGUGAUUUUGAGGAAGAUGCUUUGUUUCCUGUUUCCUUUUAUAAAACAAAUGUCAUUGUUUACUUUACUUUUUAAAGACAAAUCUGAAUUUACAUUUCUUCUAUCAUGAAUAUUUUUAAAAAGUUAAUUUGUUGUUUGCUACUUUUGAAAUUCAUUAAUACUCCCUCAUGUACUAACUCCUACUAUCAACUUUCCGUUUAGGAUAAACCAAUAAACUUCAAAAAAGAAAAGAAAAACAAAUCCCCUAUACAUACGAACCGUAAACCAAUAAAAUGCAUUGCCUGCCAAAACUUUUAACAUUUUCAUCCAGCAGGAGUCAAAAAUGCAUUCACAUACUUUCGAAAGUUAAGGACUCCAGGCCUGAGAUCUCCUAACAUGCACUCAGAAAAUCCAUUCAUGACUCUCAAUUCUUAAUCGUCAAGAACUAAUAAUUCUAUGUUGAUUGGACUAACAACUAACAAAUGAAAAAUAAAACUAAUUGAAUUCAAAAAAGAAAACAACGUCUGAACCCGGUGCGUAGCGCCGGAAUACCCCUAGUAUAAUAAUAAAGGAGAGUUGUCUAUCUCCACAGCCCCCCCCCCCCACACACACACACACACACACACACAUGGGGCAUUUUUUGCCACAUGUCACUUUCUCAUUCUGACGAUAACACGGUUCUUUCUUCGCAAACAGAGUUUAGCAUUUUCAGAAGUUUACCUGUUUAAUUUAUGUAGCCCAGAACUAACCAAUCUUGGCCCACCAAAAGUCCAUAUGAACUUCCAUUUUUUUUCCUCGGCUAGGAAACUCUCGCUUCCACAACCUCUGGGAUACCACCUUCGUAACGCCUCUCCUCUCCAUUCAAUUAAGUAAGAUACUUCAAUUCAGCCAUCCCAUUACUUGAUAUUUAACUCACGAUAAUCAUCACCAGUUUUGUAUUCUUCUCUGAAACGUCACCACCAACACGAAUCACAUAUACAGACCAGAGUAAAAGAUAGAAACAUAGAGAGAGAGAGAAAGAGAGAGUGGAGUUUACUAAGAUAGAGAUGGGAGGUGUGACUUCUUCAAUUGUGUGAAGGUGGCACUCUUCGGCCAUAUCAGUUAACUUACAAGGCAAUCAGAGACAACACAUACGGUGGUCCGAUGUUGGAGCUCUCGAUCGAGCUAAAUAUUCAGCUUUGUGUCAAUUUGAUGGGGUUAGUUCUUUUUUUCUCUUUUGUGUGUAUUCACUUUCUACUGCUUCAACUUCUCACAACUCCUAAUAUCAUCAAUACUUUCAAUGAUUUGAUCAAAAAACGAGUACGGUUUCCAAAGGGAAGGAAAUCUAUCUAAUUAUAUCAAAUUAUAUCUUUGCCAUUGAUAUAUUGGAUUAUUAUAUCUUUGCUAUAUAAAUGUUUAUAUGUACCUGCAGCCUCCAGGGUCCAAAGUACCAGGAGAAUGUUAUAAUUUCUCGGUUUUGGCGGAAAAACGUAAUUUCCGAUUUUGUUUCGGGAAAACGUAAUUUUUUAACUUUACAAGAAAACAUGAUUUCACGAUUUUGGCGAAAAACAUGAUUUUUCUGGUUUUUGCUGAAAAUAUAAUUUCUUGGUUUUGGGGGAAAACAUGAUUUCACGGUUUCGGCAAAAAAACAUGGUUUUCCGGUUUUUGCGGUAAUUAUAAAUUAUCGAUUUUGGCGGGAAAAUGUGAUAUCUCGGUUUCGGCGGAAUAACGUGAUUUUCGGUUUUUUUUGCUGGAAAACGUGAUUUCACGGUUUUGGCGGGAAAACGUAAUUUUUUUUAUUUUGACGGGAAAACUUGUUUUUUCGAUUUUGGCGGGAAAAUGUGAUUUUCUGGUUUUGCAAAAAAAAUAUAAUUUCACGAUUUUGGUGGGAAAAGGUGAUUUCUCGGUUUUGGCGGGAAAACAUAGUUUCUCGGUUUUGGCGGAAAAUCGUGAUUUUUUCGGUCUCGGAGAAAAAAAGUAGUUUUGUUGAAAAAGUAGUUUUGUAAUUUUUGAGAGAAAGUGUAAUUUUUAAAGUUUAAAUUAUAAAUUAUAAAUUAAUAGUUAUAAAUACUAUUGGGUAUCCAUGGGCAUGCCCAUUUAGACAUUGUCUCUAUUGGUCUUGGACAUUUGUUUGGACCAUUGUCCAUUAUAGAUCACCCAUUACUGCCCAUGGUCCAACUGGGCAAGCCCAAUUGGGCGCUGGACGAACCAUUUGACAGCUCUACCUGCAGGGUCCAAAGUACCAGGAGAAUGUUAAUAUUCGCUUAGGUGAUGGAUCUAUGAGACGUGGUCAGGUCAUGGAGGUUGAUGGCGAGAAAGCUGUUGUCCAGGUAUUCUAGAUUGAAUUCGACACUACGCCAAUGCACUUGGCUAUACAGGUUCGAUGUUCUCAAUAAUUAAUUUUCUUUGGUUUCAGGUUUUUGAAAGAACAUCUGAAAUUGGCACCGUUCAAUACACUGAGGUAUUUACUAUGACAGUCUCUUCUUUUAAGCGUUUCUCGGAACCAAUGAUUGCUUAUAAUGAUUUUUUUAACCUUUUUUGUUCAUUGUACGAUUUCAGGUACUGAAAACACAUGUAUCUCAAGAGAUGUUUGGGCGCAUUUUUAACGGCUCAAGAAAGCCAA